UGUUGGCAGAGGAGAUUAAUGUUACUUGGCAUCUUGUUUAGCAUGGUCAUUAUGGGCUGAAGGGCCUGUUUCUGGGC